rnacentral:rRNA from 1 species
CUGCUGCCUUCCGUAGGAGUUUGGGCCGUGUCUCAGUCCCAAUGUGGCCGUCCACCCUCUCAGGCCGGCUACUGAUCGUCGCCUUGGUGGGCCGUUACCCCGCCAACAAGCUAAUCAGACGCGGGUCCAUCUUACACCACCGGAGUUUUUCACACAAAUCCAUGCGGCUUCGUGCGCUUAUGCGGUAUUAGCACCUAUUUCUAAGUGUUAUCCCCCAGUGUAAGGCAGGUUACCCACGCGUUACUCACCCGUCCGCCACUAAGAUUUUAA